rnacentral:rRNA from 1 species
ACCUGCGAUGCAUUAGCUAGUUGGUAAGGUAACGGCUUACCAAGGCGAUGAUGCGUAGCCGAGUUGAGAGACUGAUCGGCCACAUUGGGACUGAGACACGGCCCAAACUCCUACGGGAGGCAGCAGUAGGGAAUUUUCCACAAUGGACGCAAGUCUGAUGGAGCAACGCCGCGUGAGUGAAGAAGGUUUUCGGAUCGUAAAGCUCUGUUGUUGGUGAAGAGGGAUAGAGGUAGUAACUGGCCUUUAUUUGACGGUAAUCAACCAGAAAGUCACGGGCUAACUACGUGCCAGCAGCGCGGUAAAU